GGGCAACCGACACCAUCUUUGACCGCACCGCACCGCACUGAACUGCAAACACUGAAAAUCUGCAAAUAAAAGAAAUCAAACGAACAACGGACUACGGCCGAAGGCUGCUGUUUACUUUUGUUGCGGUUUGGUGAAUGGCUGUGCUCUGUGCACCCCGGGGCCCCUCCUCCUCCUCUGUGCCCUAUGUGAGAAAAUGGGGAGCAGGAAUGCACCAUGGGCUGUCUGU